GCUAAAAAAGCUAAUUACGCGUCGGUUUUGUAAGCCGAAAAGUGGGGGGUGUGUGUCUCCUCUUUUAGCU
rnacentral:tRNA from 1 species